GUCAAGUCAAAAUGCAUAAAAUGAAAAUACCAGAAAACAUUUAGUAAUAGACUAUUAAAUUGGAUUUAAAUGGAGGCAAGAAUGGCCAUUUAACAAGAAAAUCAUUGAAGCUGACGUAUCUUACUUAGAACAUAGAUCCUACUUGCAAUUAGCUUAUUUGUAUUAAGAUCCUGUUCAAUGUACUGAAAAACGAUACCAUCUUGUUCAGCAGCUGCGUCUAAGAAAAGGAAUUGAUUAUGAACCCAAUCCUCCAGAAGCUUAUGGAUGUGAUGGUACACCUGCAACAGUGCAUUUGAUGAAAUAGAGAGGAUACGUAAAAAAAAAAAUUUAAGAAAAGCGCCAAAAGAAAUAGUGAAGGGAUUUUCAACUUUAUUUUUCUGAAAAGGAUACUGUAACAAAUGACAUUUAUCAAGCUGCUGCUUUUUAGUUUGUUUUAUUCAUCUUUCUUUGAUAUUUUUUUCGAUAUUUUGAGUUCAUAAACAUUUCCUAUAUAU